AGAGUUUGAUCCUGGCUCAGGACGAACGCUGGCGGCGUGCCUAAUACAUGCAAGUCGAACGAAGCUUUCUUUCACCGAAUGCUUGCAUUCACCGAAAGAAGCUUAGUGGCGAACGGGUGAGUAACACGUAGGCAACCUACCCAAGAGAGGGGGAUAACACUUGGAAACAGGUGCUAAUACCGCAUAACCAUGAACACCGCAUGAUGUUCGUGUAAAAGACGGCUUUUGCUGUCACUUUUGGAUGGGCCUGCGGCGUAUUAACUUGUUGGUGGGGUAACGGCCUACCAAGGUGAUGAUACGUAGCCGAACUGAGAGGUUGAUCGGCCACAUUGGGACUGAGACACGGCCCAAACUCCUACGGGAGGCAGCAGUAGGGAAUCUUCCACAAUGGACGAAAGUCUGAUGGAGCAACGCCGCGUGAAUGAAGAAGGCCUUCGGGUCGUAAAAUUCUGUUGUCAGAGAAGAAUGUGCGUGGGAGUAACUGUUCACGUAUUGACGGUAUCUGACCAGAAAGCCACGGCUAACUACGUGCCAGCAGCCGCGGUAAUACGUAGGUGGCAAGCGUUGUCCGGAUUUAUUGGGCGUAAAGGGAACGCAGGCGGUCUUUUAAGUCUGAUGUGAAAGCCUUCGGCUUAACCGAAGUAGUGCAUUGGAAACUGGAAGACUUGAGUGCAGAAGAGGAGAGUGGAACUCCAUGUGUAGCGGUGAAAUGCGUAGAUAUAUGGAAGAACACCAGUGGCGAAAGCGGCUCUCUGGUCUGUAACUGACGCUGAGGUUCGAAAGCGUGGGUAGCAAACAGGGUUAGAUACCCUGGUAGUCCACGCCGUAAACGAUGAGUGCUAAGUGUUGGAGGGCUUCCGCCCUUCAGUGCUGCAGCUAACGCAUUAAGCACUCCGCCUGGGGAGUACGGUCGCAAGACUGAAACUCAAAGGAAUUGACGGGGGCCCGCACAAGCGGUGGAGCAUGUGGUUUAAUUCGAAGCAACGCGAAGAACCUUACCAGGUCUUGACGUCUUCUGACAAUUCCAGAGAUGGAACGUUCCCUUCGGGGACAGAAUGACAGGUGGUGCAUGGUUGUCGUCAGCUCGUGUCGUGAGAUGUUGGGUUAAGUCCCGCAACGAGCGCAACCCUUAUUGUCAGUUGCCAUCAUUAAGUUGGGCACUCUGGCGAGACUGCCGGUGACAAACCGGAGGAAGGUGGGGAUGACGUCAAAUCAUCAUGCCCCUUAUGACCUGGGCUACACACGUGCUACAAUGGACGGUACAACGAGUCGCUAACUCGCGAGGGCAAGCUAAUCUCUUAAAGCCGUUCUCAGUUCGGAUUGCAGGCUGCAACUCGCCUGCAUGAAGUCGGAAUCGCUAGUAAUCGCGAAUCAGCAUGUCGCGGUGAAUACGUUCCCGGGCCUUGUACACACCGCCCGUCACACCAUGAGAGUUUGUAACACCCAAAGUCGGUGGGGUAACCUUUUGGAGCCAGCCGCCUAAGGUGGGACAGAUGACUGGGGUGAAGUCGUAACAAGGUA
rnacentral:rRNA from 1 species